ACGGAAGGCAGCAGUGGGGAAUAUUGCACAAUGGGCGAAAGCCUGAUGCAGCGACGCCGCGUGAGUGAAGAAGUAUCUCGGUAUGUAAAGCUCUAUCAGCAGGGAAGAAAAUGACGGUACCUGAAUAAGAAGCCCCGGCUAACUACGUGCCAGCAGCCGCGGUAAUACGUAGGGGGCAAGCGUUAUCCGGAUUUACUGGGUGUAAAGGGAGCGUAGACGGUUUGGCAAGUCUGAAGUGAAAUGCGGGGGCUCAACUCCUGAACUGCUUUGGAAACUGUCGAACUAGAGUGCAGGAGAGGUAAGUGGAAUUCCUAGUGUAGCGGUGAAAUGCGUAGAUAUUAGGAGGAACACCAGUGGCGAAGGCGGCUUACUGGACUGUAACUGACGUUGAGGCUCGAAAGCGUGGGGAGCAAACAGGAUUAGAUACCCUGGUA
rnacentral:rRNA from 1 species